rnacentral:rRNA from 1 species
CCUACGGGUGGCAGCAGUAGGGAAUAUUGCACAAUGGUGGAAAGCCUGAUGCAGCAACGCCGCGUGGGGGAUGAAGGCCUUCGGAUCGUAAACUCCUUUUCUCAGAGAAGAUAAUGACGGUACUUAACGAAUAAGCCCCGGCUAACUCCGUGCCAGCAGCCGCGGUAAUACGUAGGGUGCAAGCGUUACUCGGAAUCACUGGGCGUAAAGAGUGCGUAGGUGGGAUUUUAAGUCAGAUGUGAAAACCUAUGGCUUAACCAUUGUAAAGCAUUUGAAAUUGUGAUACUUGAGUCUAGGAGAGGUGAGUGGAAUUCUUAGUGUAGCGGUGAAAUGCGUAGAGAUCAAGAGGAAUACUCGUUGCGAAGGCGACCUGCUAGAAUGUAACUGACACUGAGGCGCGAAAGCGUGGGGAGCAAACAGGAUUAGAUACCCGUGUAGUC